rnacentral:rRNA from 1 species
CAGCAGCCGCGGUAAUACGAGGGGGGCAAGCGUUGUUCGGAAUUAUUGGGCGUAAAGGGUGCGUAGGCGGUUUGGCAAGUUUGGUGUGAAAUCUUCGGGCUCAACUCGAAGUCUGCAUCGAAAACUGCCGGGCUUGAGUAUGGGAGAGGUGAGUGGAAUUUCCGGUGUAGCGGUGAAAUGCGUAGAUAUCGGAAGGAACACCUGUGGCGAAAGCGGCUCACUGGACCAUAACUGACGCUGAGGCGCGAAAGCUAGGGGAGCAAACAGGAUUAGAUACCCCCGUAGUCCCUGUCUCUUAUAC